rnacentral:misc_RNA from 1 species
GCUGGUGCAUCGAACUGUUGACGCUCCAUCUGCUUCAAUAUUUCCCCAAGUGAAGCUCUUUCCUUGUGGGUUCGUGCGGUAUCCUGUGUUGCUUACCAAUAAAAUGGAAUUUGUUGGUUUCGUUGGUUUGGAUCCGCCUUGUGCCCACGGGGUGCGGGGCGGACAUGAGGCAAGCACCGUGAUCCCAACACGCCUAGCGCUUAGCGCAUAGUUGUUGUGGCGCAUGGUGUCUUUGCUUGUUAUCUCGGAUGCGGAAAGCUAUGUGUGGGUGCGAGGUCUUGGCCUCCAAACAUCCAAUCACUGUCCCUUGACUCGAAUGACUGCUGCACCUGUCUUGAUCUUCCCGACCAAGGCCUCGUAACGGGGCUUACUGGAUGAGGGGGGAUCAUCGGGUGCUAGCUUCAAAGAGGAAAGCACUGUCCCUUGACUCGAAUGACUGCUUUGCCCGUCUUGAUCUCUCCGACCAAGGCCUCGUAAUGGGGCUUACUGGAUGAGGGGGGAUCAUGCGGGUGUUGGCGUCAAAGAGGAAAGC